CUACGGGUUGCUGCAGUGAGGAAUAUUGGUCAAUGGGCGAAAGCCUGAACCAGCCAUGCCGCGUGAAGGAUGACGGCCCUAUGGGUUGUAAACUUCUUUUGUACGGGAAGAAACCCCUCUACGUGUAGAGGUUUGACGGUACCGUACGAAUAAGCAUCGGCUAACUCCGUGCCAGCAGCCGCGGUAAUACGGAGGAUGCAAGCGUUAUCCGGAUUUAUUGGGUUUAAAGGGUACGUAGGCGGAAACUUAAGUCAGUAGUGAAAUCCCGCAGCUUAACUGUGGAACUGUUAUUGAUACUGGGUUUCUUGAAUAUUGUUGAGGUAGGCGGAAUAAGUAAUGUAGCGGUGAAAUGCUUAGAUAUUACUUAGAACACCGAUUGCGAAGGCAGCUUACUAAGCAACUAUUGACGCUGAGGUACGAAAGCGUGGGGAGCGAACAGGAUUAGAUACCCCAGUAGUC
rnacentral:rRNA from 1 species